rnacentral:rRNA from 1 species
GAGUUUGUAUCAUGGCUCAGGAUAAACGCUGGCGGCGCACAUAAGACAUGCAAGUCGAACGAACUUAACCAUUAGUUUACUAUUGGAGCGGUUAGUGGCGGACUGGUGAGUAACACGUAAGCAACCUGCCUAUCAGAGGGAACAACAGUUAGAAUGACUGCUAAUACCGCAUAUGCCUUAGAAUCACAUGGUUCAAAAGGGAAGAGCAAUCCAUGAUAGAUGGGCUUGCGU